AACGACUCUCGACAACGGAUAUCUCGGCUCUCGCAUCGAUGAAGAACGUAGCGAAAUGCGAUACUUGGUGUGAAUUGCAGAAUCCCGUGAACCAUCGAGUCUUUGAACGCAAGUUGCGCCCGAAGCCAAUAGGCCGAGGGCACGUCUGCCUGGGCGUCACAC
rnacentral:rRNA from 1 species